rnacentral:rRNA from 1 species
CGUUGUUCGCAUGAACAACGCUUAAAAGAUGGCUUCUCGCUAUCACUUCUGGAUGGACCUGCGGUGCAUUAGCUUGUUGGUGGGGUAACGGCCUACCAAGGCGAUGAUGCAUAGCCGAGUUGAGAGACUGAUCGGCCACAAUGGGACUGAGACACGGCCCAUACUCCUACGGGAGGCAGCAGUAGGGAAUCUUCCACAAUGGGCGCAAGCCUGAUGGAGCAACACCGCGUGAGUGAAGAAGGGUUUCGGCUCGUAAAGCUCUGUUGUUAAAGAAGAACACGUAUGAGAGUAACUGUUCAUACGUUGACGGUAUUUAACCAGAAAGUCACGGCUAACUACGUGCCAGCAGCCGCGGUAAUACGUAGGUGGCAAGCGUUAUCCGGAUUUAUUGGGCGUAAAGAGAGUGCAGGCGGUUUUCUAAGUCUGAUGUGAAAGCCUUCGGCUUAACCGGAGAAGUGCAUCGGAAACUGGAUAACUUGAGUGCAGAAGAGGGUAGUGGAACUCCAUGUGUAGCGGUGGAAUGCGUAGAUAUAUGGAAGAACACCAGUGGCGAAGGCGGCUACCUGGUCUGCAACUGACGCUGAGACUCGAAAGCAUGGGUAGCGAACAGGAUUAGAUACCCUGGUAGUCCAUGCCGUAAACGAUGAGUGCUAGGUGUUGGAGGGUUUCCGCCCUUCAGUGCCGGAGCUAACGCAUUAAGCACUCCGCCUGGGGAGUACGACCGCAAGGUUGAAACUCAAAGGAAUUGACGGGGGCCCGCACAAGCGGUGGAGCAUGUGGUUUAAUUCGAAGCUACGCGAAGAACCUUACCAGGUCUUGACAUCUUGCGCCAACCCUAGAGAUAGGGCGUUUCCUUCGGGAACGCAAUGACAGGUGGUGCAUGGUCGUCGUCAGCUCGUGUCGUGAGAUGUUGGGUUAAGUCCCGCAACGAGCGCAACCCUUGUUACUAGUUGCCAGCAUUAAGUUGGGCACUCUAGUGAGACUGCCGGUGACAAACCGGAGGAAGGUGGGGACGACGUCAGAUCAUCAUGCCCCUUAUGACCUGGGCUACACACGUGCUACAAUGGACGGUACAACGAGUCGCGAACUCGCGAGGGCAAGCAAAUCUCUUAAAACCGUUCUCAGUUCGGACUGCAGGCUGCAACUCGCCUGCACGAAGUCGGAAUCGCUAGUAAUCGCGGAUCAGCAUGCCGCGGUGAAUACGUUCCCGGGCCUUGUACACACCGCCCGUCACACCAUGAGAGUUUGUAACACCCAAAGUCGGUGGGGUAACCUUUUAGGAGCCAGCCGCCUAAGGUGGGACAGAUGAUUAGGGUGAAGUCGUAACAAGGUAGCCGUAGGAGAACCUGCGGCUGGAUCACCUCCUUUCUAAGGAA